UUUGACGUCAGCCAGAGGCAGAGUCUGUGGCUGAGUCCGCACAGUCAAAGGCUUGUGAGAAUCUGGUGGAUGCUGGACCUUGCUGCUGCUGCCACCGUGCCGCUGCCGCUAUUGCUGUCACUUCUGCUGUGGCUGUUGCUUCCCAGGGGCUGCAGGAGCAUGGACUACUAAACCCCACACUUCUUCAGCUUGAGUUGAGUUCUUGCUACCAGAAUGGGGAAACAGAACAGCAAGCUGCGCCCUGAAGUCAUGCAGGACUUACUGGAAAGCACAGACUUCACAGAGCAUGAGAUCCAGGAGUGGUACAAAGGCUUCUUGAGAGACUGCCCCAGCGGACAUUUGUCAAUGGAAGAGUUUAAGAAAAUAUACGGGAACUUUUUCCCUUAUGGGGAUGCUUCCAAAUUCGCAGAGCACGUCUUCCGCACCUUCGAUGCAAAUGGAGAUGGGACGAUAGACUUUAGAGAGUUCAUCAUAGCCCUGAGUGUGACAUCAAGGGGCAAGCUGGAGCAGAAGCUGAAGUGGGCCUUCAGCAUGUAUGACCUGGAUGGCAACGGCUACAUCAGCAAGGCAGAAAUGCUGGAGAUUGUGCAGGUAAGGACCCUGGCCUGUUAGAGAGAGAAGCAUGAGUGUUACAAGAGAGGCCCAGAAGGCAUGUGGGAGAACAUGGGACUAAGAGUGUUAACCUGGGUGUUACCAGAACAGUUAGUUUGACCCACUUGGUAGUUUUUUUAAAGUUUGAAUUCACAUGCACAGAAAUUGUGUAAAAACCUACAUCGGUUGGAAUCUCUUGGAAACUCAGGAGCUCAGCUCUACUGCCUGCUCAUUCUUACCUGGUAGCAUUGUCCAUACACUGGGGUGAUUCUCACACUGCAGAGAGACAGGGCUCUUGUGUUGGCCACCUUUGUUUCAUUCUUCCCAUUGAUCGAUGUAAAAACAUGCUCAGACGUGAAGUCUGGGGUCAUGUCUUUGAAGUUGUGUUAGAAAUGAAGCCCUGGCUUGGGUGCCCACCUGUAUUUUUCAGGGACCAUCUCUUGGUCAGGAGUCAACACAAGAGUGUCUUCUGUAAAAUGGAGCGGCAUGCCAUGGGGUUGUUUUAAGAUUAUACAUAACUCUCCAUGUUAAAUGCUGUCUUGUUUACUGUUCUGUUUCUGUGAAGAGACACCAUGACCGAGGCAACUCUUUCAAAAGGAAGGCAUUUAAUUAGGGGCUUGCUUACAAUUUUGAGAGGUUAGUCCAUGACCAUCAUGGUAGGAAGCAGACAGGCAUGGACCUGGAGCAGUAGCUGAGAGCUUUAUAUCCUGACCCACAGGCAGAACGGAGAGAGAGAGAGAGAGAGAGAGAGAGAGAGACAGACAGACAGACAGACAGACUAGACAUGGUGUGAGCUUUUAAACCAUCAGAACCACCCAAGUGACACAAUAUUCCAACAAGACCACACCUCCUCUAAACCUUUCUAAAUAGCUCCCCUAACUAUGGACCAAGAUUUUAAUCAUAUAAGCCUGUGGGUACCAUUUUCACUCAAAGUACCACAAGUGCCUAGCCCAGGGACAACCACAGGAAAGAUAAUUAUCACUAAUUUACAACAUUGUGGACUGUUGAACAAAAGUAGGUUCUGGACUUGAAGCUUCGUCUCUUCCGGGAUGCAAAUAUAGAGGGCUUCAUCAUUUUACUAGGAGACUGUGUUUGGCCUCCUGGAGCCACUCACUCUGAGUAACUUCACUAAAGAAAACAGGAUAGAGUGGUGCUGGUGGCUAUGGCAGCUUGCUAAGCAGUGGGUGGGAUCCAGAGACAAACCUAAGGAGAUUCUGGCCUUAGGAGAGGUUGGGAGGGCUUCAGCUGAAGGCAUUAUUAAGGACUAGGUGGGUGACAGAGCCAACAAGAGCUGGCUGCCAUGUGAGGUCUAGGCUAGUAAGGGAAGCUCAGUACAGAAGUACCUGUCAGCAAGGAGUCAAGGGAGUGGGUUUUGGCUUCUUGGAGGGCUCAGCUCAGAAGUCAAAUUCAUCGGAGAACAUUUGAGCAGAUGCCCUACUGAGAUAGAGCUGCUGCCCUGAAAAAAUGGUGCUGUGCUGGAUGGGAGGGGUAAAACAAGGAGAUGAAAAAACUCAGCUGUUGGUAGGAAUGGGGCUGGGGUAGAGAGCAACUAGCUUGCAGAGAGCCUCAGGGAACAAGACACUGGAAACCAAACAGAGCUAAAAAGACUACUAUAGGGCUGUGACUAAACCGUGGAUGGAGGAUGGAGCCUACAUGCGCAGUUAAAGGGACAGUAUAACUGUACCUUUUGGGCUACUCUAUUGGGUUCUUAUAUUUACCACCCUUCUCCACCCUUAUUUUACCCUAAUCCCUUCUAAACGCCCCCCAACACUAGGUAGGAGAGAAAGAAAGUUAGAGGGGUAAGGGGGUAUAGACCUCUUUAGACCACCUCUUGCUAAUGAGGAGUAUGGUUUAUAGGAGUUGGUGCUGAUGCCAAGGUCUUGUUCCCCAAUUGGUUCUUGAUCCAUCAAUAAAGAUGCUAUCGGAGAAUGAGCUAAGCAGAAUAGGCAGGGCUUUUGGGUCCCCACAGGCAAGCUAACAGACGAAGGGGAGAGAGAAGGAUUUUUGCCAUGCUUUGGAGGGAGAAAAAGUGACUAGCCAUGUGAGAUCUCAGGCAGUGACCAUGGGCCAUUUCCCCAGGCAGGAGAUUAGAAACACAACUAAAGCUGAGGGCAGUUUUGGGUGCUGGACAAGGAGAAGGUAACUAAGCAACUAGAGCUGAGGGUAGAUUUAGGGUGCGGAGCUGAGAGUAUUGGAAAGGGGAGGCCAACCGUGGGAGAUUAGAAGCACCAAACAAUUGAUCCAUAAGGCAGGUUAAAAAUUAAGUUAAUACGUGUAUUGUUUUUUGAUCUGUGGAUCCAAGGGAACCUGGGCGGGGGUUGGUAGCAUGGUCUGCCCAGAUUUUAAAGUGGGGUAGCAAAAACUGCACACUACAGAGUUCUUUGGGGGUAAUUCCAAUCUUCAUUAUCAGGAUAUCUAAUUUCUUCUUCUUCUCUCUUUGCUCACAACCACUUGACAAACUGCAACAGCACCAACGGCAGCAGGGGGAGCCGCCACUGCACCAGGCCCUCUCAGGGCUGUCACAACAAAAGUCCCCAGAAUUACAAAUGUAAACUAUCUGCAGCUAGCAAAAAUAAUAUCCUUCCAAGAGCAAGGGACAAAUCAUAGUUAGCAGCUGUGGACAGACAAUCUGAAGCAGCCUCAUAUCCCACACCUAAGAUUAAAACAAAAACAUAAUCACAUAACAUAACUGUUUUUUUUUGUUGUUGUUGUUGUUAAGAAACCAUGAUACUACCAUUCCCCCUUUUAGUCCAAUAAAUGGCUUUUUCUCUAACAUCAAUUAAUUAUAUAUAUAAUAAGAACAAUUAUGAGAACUAUUAGGUAAGAAUUAUAAUGUUCAUACCGUUUGUAUUUGGCAACCUUGGAGAAAGUAUUCUUCUACCUAACCUAUCUUGGUGAGUCCAAAAUUUUGUACCCAAAUCACCUUCUAAUCAUAACUUGCAUUUAUCAACAUGAAAACCUUUUUAGACCCUAAAACGUUUUCUUAGAUCCUGAACAACUUAAGCUUUUAUGUCCUCAAUCUUUAGUAGGGAAAGCUGUAAGACUAUAUCUAGUCUUCAACCCCAUCAGAGACCUGAGAAGGAUAAAUGCUGCCUCGGUAAACAGGAAGUGUAGAGAAAGCAGCUUCCAAAACUAUAGAAAUGAUAGAGACUGCUGACUGCCUGGUCAGUCACCCAAGGUUCCUCUGUAUUGGUGGGACAUUCAAUCUUCCAACAAUAGACCCAGGAUAUCCAACAAAAUUAUCUCUAAAGCAGGAAUUUUGAAGGACUGGCCUACCUUGUUUCAGUAGAGUGGGUCAAUCAACUGUCCUGCUUAUUCACAGUUUAGACAGUGUGCUUUUGUAGUCAAGGAGCAGGUUUCCCCUACCCCCACCCCCUAUCCCCCACCCCUAAUCCCCACCCCUUCUAGUGGCUAUCUUGCCACAACUGAAGCAAACUCCAUGUGGAAAUUCUUAGGUGCCCAUCAUCUUCUUUGACAUAGAUUGGGGUGCUACCAGGAGCUGAUCUCUCUCUCUCUCUCUCUCUCUCUCUCUCUCUCUCUCUCUCUCACACACACACACACACACACACACACACACACACACACACACAGAAGCCUUUUAUUAUUUUUUUUCUUUUUUCUUUUUUUCGGAGCUGGGGAUCGAACCCAGGGCCUUGUGCUUGCUAGGCAAGUGCUCUACCACUGAGCUAAAUCCCCAACCCAGCCUUUUAUUAUUAAAACACCUGAAUUGCUAUAUUUUGCAGAUCUCUGAAGUAUUUGAGGACCAUCUGUCUCAAGAUGUGAAUAGACAAACAUUGCUUGUUUCUAGCUAUUUACUUUUUGCUUAACUUUGAAAACAUGCUCAGGAAGCUAAAUAAAGUUUAUUACUAUAAUUAACUAAACUAGUACCUAAAAAGACUAUAAGUUUGAUUAUUCAUAGGUAGCUUGCAUUUCUCAAUUAUUCUGAAUAGUUUACACUCGAAGCUUUCAAGCUUUACUCCAAACUUUUAACUGAGUUGCAUAUGGACGGUAUCUUAAAAGUUGAAACAUGUAUACAAUGUGCUGUAGCAAAUAUAACCUUAAAUUUCCGCCAAUAUGCAAUAAUGCAUAUCAGUAUAAAAUAUUUGAGACUAGUUGCUGCUAUCUUAAAGGAGAUAUGAUCCUUUCACCCUCUCAUGCCUAUACCCCCUUUAUUCUUUUAUCCUCUUCCCUCUUCUUCCCCAAACACUAGACGAGAAAGAAAGAAGGAUAGAGGGAGAAGGAGAAAGAUAUCUUUGGUUCUAACUUCCUUUACUUUGUUUCCUAACCAUAACCACCAACAACUUGUAACCAACUCCCCUAAACAAGGACAAACAUUCAUCACCCACAAAAUGGCAAAAAACCAUCCAUCCCAACUCUUGGGAAUUGGGACAUUGUAAUCUUUACAUUGGCCAAGUCCUGGGAGAGCUGGCUGUAUUAUUUGCUGCCCAGUCUCUGUGGGAUAGGAAAGCAAAGGGCUUAACUGAAGUCCUGGCUGGAACGGUCUCUGAGGCUGGACCAUUUGAGCUAGCUACUUUGAAGUUGUCCUGGAUUCAGUUUCUGAGAAAACAGCAGCUGAGGAAGUCUGUGAGGCUGGAUCGCCUGGGCUACUUGCUUUGUCUUCAUUGGUGUCGGAUCUUUUCCCUCUACAAACACAGAGACUUUUAAAGGUAAUAUUGUAGGUACAUUUCUACAUUAACACAUGUGUGGACCAUGCCAGGUGCACAACUUAGUUGAUGAUUCUCUGCUCUACGUUUGAGCAUGUGAGAAGCAUCUGUCAACUUUAUAAGUCCUUCUGGAUUGUGUGACCAAACUGUAAUAUAAACCUCAAUCCAUGCCAUAUGAAAGGAUGACAUGUGACAAUAAGUCAUGAGCACCAGGCAGCCACCAAGAUUAAUUGGCUAUGUAGAGACAUUUAUGUAUUAGUUGGUAGGAGGUCUUCCCUGGUUAAAUCUGAUCUUUGUAAGUUUUGAUGAUAACCGUAUCUUUUUGUUCCCAGUAGAAACAUAAACCAAACUGUGUCCUCAACGCCAAACCAUUACAUGCUUCCAUUUUGAUGGACUCUUCACAUCCUUACAGAACAUAGGAUGACUUAAUUCUCAGUUAUUUCUAUAACCCAGUGCCUCUCAGCUGCUACAGUUCCCUUUUCAUCAGCAUUAAGAAAAUUUAGAGUUAAGAAGCGUUAUUUAGUCUAUCCCUGGAGGUCUUUACUCUUCCUUUUUGUUUCAUGAGCAUUUCUUUGAAAGUGUGAUUAGAUCUUUCUACAAUGCUUGUCCUAUAGGAUUGUGUGGUGUACCUGUGAUGGGCUUUGUGUUAUGAUAAGCAAAAAGUUGCUUCAUUUUACUGGAAGCAUGUGAGGGGGCAUUGUCAGUCUUAAUUUAUGCAAGUAUUCCCAUAAUUUUCAUUAUUUGCAACAAAUGUGUAAUUGUAGAAUCAGCUUUUUCAGAAUUCAAAGCAGUUUCCCACCGGGGCUCUGAAUAUGUAUCAGUGGUACAGUGUAUAGUCGUUAGUUUUCCAAAUUCUACAAAAUGAAACACAUCCAUCUGCCAGAUUGCAUUUCCUUUGGUACCCUUAGUGUUGCUUCCAGUGGGUAAUGGAGUUUGGACUUAUACAGAGAAUAAGUAGGACAUUUCCUUUUAACAAUCACUUUCCUCAUUUCCUUGUGCCAAUGGACUUAGCAAAUCUGCAUGAGACUGAAUAUGAGUAAUAUGGAUAAGACACUUCCUAUUUCUGAUUGCCCAUUGCAGUUGUAUAAAUAACAAUUUCCAAACCAUCAGGUUAAUUCUGAACCAUCAGGAAAAAUUCAGCAGUUUCUAUAUUCAAAACAACUCUUUCUGCAUAGUAAGAAUCAGUAAUUAUAUUAGGAGAUUCAGGAAAAUCUAGUAAUACCAUAAGGUUUGCAUACACCCCUGACUUUGGAACUGAGGUACGUGGACUUUGGAUUACCUUGUUUAUUUUGUCUGACUUAGAGCCUGCCAUCCCCACCUCGUUUGCAUCAGUAUAGAAUGUAGGUGCUUCAGGAAUUGGUGUCUCCUUUACAAUAACUGGGAGAAUCCAAUUAGUUCUUUUUAUAAAAUAUAGAUGCUUGCUUUGGGAUAUGUGUUGUUAAUUUCUCCCAAACAGAUACUACGAGCUCUUUGCCAGUCUUCAUGGCUUUAUCCAUAAGGACAUAAUCUCAGCAUUAGUAAAAGGCAUCGUGAUUUCAGCUGGGCAGGUUCCUGAUAACUGACAUAGUCUUAUUCUACCUUUUAUGAUUAAUUCAGAAACUUUUCUAUGGAAGUCUUUAAUUUUUUGCUUUGUUUAUGUGAUAAUAAAAUAUUAUCCAUAAUACUAUCUUUCCUUUCCACAAGGAGUCUAGUAGGAGAAUGAGUGAAGGCAAAAUAACCAAAAUACAAUGAAGCUUAGGAUCAAUUUGAUCCACAUAUGUAUCUUAUAGUCUCUGUUCUACCAGAGUGUUCCGUGUUCUCUCUCUCUCUCUCUCUCUCUCUCUCUCUCUCUCUCUCUCUCUCUCUCUCCUUCAGUUGUUAACCAUCAUGGACUGUUUAAGUUCAAAUCUCCUUGUAAAGUUUGAAACAAAUUACUUAACUCAUGAGUAGUUAAUCCUCUUAUAGGCCAUAGCCAUUUAACACCUCCCAUUAAUUUUGAAAAUCACCAAGAGUUUGCAAAUGAUUUCUACAGAUCUUUGUGGUUGAAUUUUGUUUUUUGUAGGUUAAAGUAUUAUAGGCACAUUUCCUGCCUCUAGAGCCGCUUUUUACUACAAAUGGCAGGUGGCACUCGACUACAACUUAAGACUAGAAUUCCAAAGUUAUUUUCAUUUUCUUUUUUUAUUGGAUUUUUAAAAUUUACAUUUAAAAUGUUAUCCCCUUUCCCGGUUUCCCAUCCAUAAACCCCCUAUCCAGUCCCCCCUCCCCCUGCUUCUAUGAGGGUGUUCCCCCAUUCAUCCAUCCAACCCUUCCAGCCUUCCCACCUCCCAACCCUGACAUUCCCCUACACUGGGGCAUCGAGCCUUGGCAGGAACAAGGGUUUCUCCCCCCAUUGGUGCCCAAUAAGGCCAUCCUCUGCUACAUAUGCAGUUGGAGCCAUGGGUCUAUCCAUGUGUACUCUUUGGAUGGUGGUUUAGUCCCUGGGAUCUCUGGUUGGUUGGUAUUGUUGUUUUUAUGGGGUUGCAAAGCCCUUCAGCUCCUUCAAUCCUUUCUCUAACUCCUCCAUUGGGUACCAGAAUUUAUUAUUAUUAUUAUUAUUUAUUUAUUUAUUUAUUUAAUGUAUGAGUGCUCUAACUUCAUAUACCUACUUGCCAGAAGAGGGCACCAGAUCACAUUAUAGAUGGUUAUGAGACACCAUGUGGUUGCUGGGAAUUGAACUCAGGACCUCUGGAAGAGUCACCAGUGCUCUUAACCUGUGAGCCAUCUUUUCAGCCCCAUAGUCAAUUUUGUUGUUGUUGUUGACUUAUUUUAUAACCCAAGUAGUUAAUAGAAUCUCCUCUUUGUAUUUUUUCAGGAGCAAUCUGUAACCCCCAUCAUGGCAGAAUUCUUUGCGAUCCCUUAAAUAUUUUCUCUAAAGUAUCUGUAUCAGAAUCAGCCCACAAACUAUCAUCCAUGUAAUGAUAAAUAAUAAAUUGCCUAUGAAUUAUUUCUAGUGGUUGCUGCACAAAAUUUUGACAUAAACUUAGACUAUUUAACAUCCCCUGUGGAAAAACUUUCCAAUGAUAUCUCUUUACUGGACCACUAAUUAUAAGCAGGUACUGAGAAAGCAAACCUUUCCCUAUCAUGCUAAUGCAAAAGGAUUGUGAAAAAAACAAUCUUUUAAAUCAAUUGCCAUCAUAGACCAUGACUUAGGUAAUAAAGAAGAUAAAGGAAUUCCAGGCUGUAAAGGACCCAUUGGUUGACUCAUUCUAUGAGCUCUUAAAUCUGUUAACAUCCUCCAUUUUCCAGUUUCUCUUUUACAACAGACACAGAGGAAAUCUAUGGGCUGGUAGACUCUUCUAUAUGUUAAGCCUCCAGCUGCUCUUUUACUAGCCGUUCAAGUGCCUGUACCUUUUCCUUAGUUAAGGGCCUCUGCUCUAUCCAUACAGGCUUGUCUGCCAAACUUUUUAAGGGUGGAUCCAUUCAUAUUCCAGCAGGGCACCUCAAUCCCUGUGGUGUUCUGGUUUUGGACAAUUGGCGCAGCCUGUGUUUGGAUUUGAUGGUACGUAUCAAUACUUUCCCCAGGAGCAUCUACCAUUUCCCCCUAAUUUCAUCAUGAGCUGUCUUUGGGAUCACAGGAAUAUUCAUUUGAGUACUCCAUUGUUAUAAAGAUCCCUUCCCCAUAAAUUUAUGGGUAUGUCAGCCACAUAAGGUUUCUGCUUGCCCUUCUGGUCCCACAGAUUUAACUCAUUUGUACACUUUGUUUAUUUGAGGUAACUUACCGAGUCCUAUAAACUAUACAUAAACCUUCUGAAGUGGCCAUUUUGCAUUACAGAAUUUUGGGGGAAUGAUAGUCACAUAAGCUCCUGUAUCCACCAAACCUUCUGUUUAACACCAUUCACUUGCUAUUUUAAUUUAGGUCUCUGAUCAUUGACAACUGUUUGCCAGCACACACACUUCUCAGUACUCCCAAAUCCUUCUGCUCUUUCUACUGGAGGAGCUGAGCAAUCCUAUCCCCUGUGUUAAUUUGUACCUUUUUAAAAACAUAUGCCAUAAUUUUGAUUUCUCCCUUCCAUCUAUAAUACCUGGAUACACAAAUGAAUCUUUGGGAAGUUAAUCCACUUCUGCUUCUUCCCAAAAAUCAUCCCUAUAAUCCCUUAAGGCAAGGGGCAUAAAUGUCAGUGGUUAUUUUGUCCCCAAUACUUAGUUACAUUGUUUCUGCCUCCUUGCCAUCUCUUGGCUAACCAGAGGGAAACCGCUAGUAUGUUUGUUGCAUGACCUCAAGCUGGCAGCCCACCCCAUUUUGUUUCCAGAUGGCAAGAAAUUUCCUUGUAGAUCCCUCCUGGACCUACACUCAUUAGUCCAAUGGCACCUUUUGUCACAGUGUCUACAAACCAGGGGAAGCCUAGGUGUUCUUUCAGAGAACCUAUUGACACCAGAAACAGCUUGUUCCCUUCUGUGUUGGAAAGUACCAUAUUUCUCACAGUUAAUGUACCAGUCAUUUUGAGAUCUGGCUCAGAAAGUACCAUAUUUCUCACAGUUAAUGUACCAGUAAUUUUGAGAUCAGUCUCAGAAAGUACUGUAUUUCUCACAGUCACUUCAGUGGACAUUUUGAGCUCUGAGACUUUUAGUAGUUUGGUCAGAAUUUCUUUGUAAAUGUCAUUAUUCACCAUAAUCAAAGCAUGAGGUAUUCUGGUAUCUGAGACCUUUAGGUAUAGCUUGUGAUACUGGCAUGAUCCUCACGGAGCCAAUACCAGUCAUGUCCCUCAUCCACUCAUCCACUGCUGCUGCUCAGCCUUUAAGGGUCUAAUCACUCUCACAGUCUGUAUUCACAUUCUCAAAGGUCCCUAUCAACACCUGUCUGGCCUCAGGGCCUGAUGGGGCUUUGUUUACAGCUGAAACCAAUCUUCACAAGAGAUCUGUGAAGUCUUCCUCAGAGCCUUGUACAAUCUUAGUGAGUGAAGUGGAUCUAUUCCUGGACUCCUCAACUUUGUCCCAAGCCUUAAAGCAGCCAAGUGACACUGCUCUCUAACAGCAUCAUCAAAUCAGUUCCUGUAGUUCAGAAACUCACCCUUCUCCAAGCAGUUGAUCUUUAACAAUAGCCAUUCCCCUUGCUCCAUUUCAUUGUUCAAUAUUCAAGGCUUUCUCCCUCCACCACAUUAACCACUGCUAACUGCUCUGACCAAACCUUUCCAGUCUUGGGGAAUAACUCUAUUUUGGGUAGCCCAGUUACUUAAUAUUUGUUUAACUUAAGGGGCAUGAAUUCCAUAGGAAACUAUAGCCUCUUUAAAAUGCCUCAGGCCUAUCAUUUCUAUAGGAUGCCAUGCUAUCUCAUCAAAAUCAUGAUCUGCACCAUUAGCAGGCAUGUGCUGCACAAUGACUGGGAAAACCCAUGGUGAUUUUGUAAGCACAGCACCCUCCUCUGGCAGCACAGUUGGCUCAAGAUUAACCAUUUCUCUCAACACAGGCUGUUUUUCUUUAACCCUGUCACCUUGCAUGACCUCCAGUUUCUCCUGGCUCCUCACCCUGCUCAGGGGCUGUGGGGACUUGAAAUUGUAAGUGCAUGGCACAGGACAGGAUACAGCCUGCCUUCCAGCCCAGUUUGCACCCUUCCUUCAUCCUUUGGGAAGAUCCCACCCUCAGUCACCAGGUCUGAACCUUUCUGCUGCCCCCUUUCCAGUGCUACUCACUUCCCAAGUGCUCUGAUCUCUACCUAUAACCUCAGCAAUGGCACGGCAACCCUUUCAAAAGUAAGAGGCUAGAGCGAGCCUUCUGCUUUCCCCAUUCAUCCACCUUUUGUUUCUCAGGCCCCUCCAUAUCUACCUGCAACUUUUCCAAUUGCUCAGCCAUUCUCCCAACCUUUUUGGAGACACAAUAGGAAGGAGAAGGAAGAGGAAGAAGAGGAGAAGAUGAUGGUGGUGGUGGUGGUGGUGGUGGUGGUGGUGGUGGUGAUGAUGAUGAUGAUGAUGAUGAUGAUAUCAUCCCCUCUGGGAAAAAAUUAAACUUUUGGUGACAUCCUAAAGCAGAAUAUUCACCUCCUUUUCCCUGCUGUUUCCUGUAUGUUAUUAGAGAUUGUUUCCUAUUCUGUCUACCUCCCAUCUGGGCACCACCAUAGCCAUACUUUUUGACUGCUUGAUUGGGUUCUUUUAUUUACCACCUUUCUCCACCCCAAUCCCGUCUAAGCCCCCAACACUAGGUAGGAGAAAAAGAAGGUUAGCGAGGAAAGGGGACAGAGAUCUCUUUAGACCACUUCCUGCUAAUUAAGGGUGUUAGGUUCCUUGGGUUAAGUUCGAUCUUCAUUACCAGGAUAUACAAUUUCUUCUUCUUGUCUCUUUGCUCACAACCACUUGACAAACCUCAACAACAACAAUUAACAGCAGCAGAGGGAGCGGCUGAUGCUUCGGGUCCUCUCAGGGCUCUCACAUUUGUUCCCUCUCAAGAGUCCCCAGAAUUCCAAAUGUAAACUAUCUGCAGCUGGCAAAAAUCACAUCCCUCCGAGAGCACAAAUCACAGUGGUGUGGACAAUCUGAAGCAGCCCCGUAUCCCACACCUGGGUUAAAACAAAAACAUAGUCACAUAAUGUAACUGGGUGUUUAAAGAAACCAAAAAUCUCACUACGGGACAGCACAAGCAUUGGGAAGAUGCAAGGACAGGGUCUCAAGUGACAUUGCCUCACCCAGGAAUACUUCCGCCAUGCACCUCUCUUUUCUGAAUGGCCGCCAGUGUCUUUCUUUUACAUAGGAGUGUAAUGAUAUGAAAAGGUCACAUUAAAAAUAAUCAGUCAGCAAUAUAGAUCUUAAGCAGAAAUAAAGGCUAUGCACCCCCCUGCAUAGGGAGACAUCUAAUAUAAGAUAUGGGCAGAUAAUGGGGUGGACUUGAGAGAUAUUCAGUGGUUAAGAGCACUGACUGCUCUUCCACAGGACCUGGGUUCAGUUCCCAGCACCCACACGGUGGUUCACAGCUGUCUGAAACACCAGUUACAGGAGAUACAGUGGUCUUUUCUGGCCUCCACAGGCAUUGCAAGCACAGGACAAACGGGCAGGCAGAACACCCAUAUACAUACAAUAAAAUAAACACAUUAAGAGAAAAUCAUGGUAUUCCAUCCUACCCAAAAUUAUUUUUUCUUAAUUUUUAAAAAUUUUAUUUGUGGGUAGGAUAAUUUCUUAAAUGACAUAUUUCUUGAUAUUUUUAAUAUGAUAAUUUAAAAUUGCAUAUUUAAAUUGCCCUCUUACCAUACAUUAAAAACAUCCAACUAAUUCCAAAAACAAAACAUUUCUGUAAUGUAAUUUUCUAUCUUGCAAUUUCCACUUAGCAAAGUAACACAACUAGCUCUGCAUUUAUAAAGAUGUCUCACAGAAGUGUUUAAUAAUAAUAGUCCAUGGCUACAUAAUAAUACACAGUAUAUUAUAAUUACUUAAUUUUCUACUAUUGGCUACUUCUAGUUUUCAUUAUUAGACAAAAUGGUUUACCUUUUAAAAAUAAAUCAAUAAUCUUUCCAUAUGAAGUGCCCUCCAGGGUUAUUUUUUUAGAAUGGAAUCCCAAUAACUGGGUCAAAGGGCAUGAGUAUUCCUAAGGUCUCUUGGUACAUCCGGUCAAAGUAUUUUUCCUAAUGCCUCCACAAGCAUAGGUAGGACAUCACCACAUCAUUUUACACCUUAGCUGUCCCUUAAUCUUUGCUAGUUUAACAAAAAUGGAAAUUCCAAGGUUAUUGUGUUAGAUUUCUGUAACUACACCAAGUGCUAUGCAAUCGACUUGCAAAGACAAAAGGUUUGCUCUCGCUUGUAGUUUUGGAGAUUUGCACUGGAUCUGUGGGUCUGGCCUGUGGUCAUCAGGGUCAGAAGCAGAGAAAAAAACCACUCAUCUCAGGGCCAGAAAACAAGAGAAAGAGGAAAAGACAGUGGUCCCACAGUCUCCUCAGAGGACUCACCCUCCUCCCAUUACCUGAAGGCUUCCCCAGUGGACACUACCUCUUAAAUAUUCUACCACCUGUCAGGAGUGCCAUGGGCUCAGGACCAAACCUUCAGACACAGGUCUUUGAGAGCACUUAAUAUUCACUUGUAGCUUUCCUCUUAAUUAGGCUCUUCGGCUGUCAUGCUUUUUAAAUUUUUAUUAUUGUCUGGUGCUAAGAUCAGAACAAGGGGCUUUGUACACCUCAGCUCUCAUUUUGCCCUUCCACUUUGGAGGGCUGGGCUCCCCGCUUGUUAGAGUCCAAAGGGCUGUUCUCAUUUUGGACAGAACUUCCAGACUGUAAUCUGAAAUAGAAAUGCCCAUGGGAGUGUUACUCCUGACAUUGUUUUGCCCGAGCUUCCUGCUGGGCUUUGCAGCCAUUGUUGAUGAACUUGUAGACACUGGAAGGAACCUUCAAAGAACAUGACCUGAAGGGAAUGGCAGGCAGCUGCGUGCUCAUCCACAGCUCAGCAAGGACCCUGGCAAGGGGAACAGUGUUCAGGAAAGACACAUCAUCCUGGGCCUUGGAAUGUGGUUUGGAAGAGAAAGUGGGAAGACUGCAGGGACAAGCAGAAGAUACCUGGGAGCAGAGGGGGCUUCCCACCAUGUUCAACAGAGAACACCAAGCUUGGUGAGCAGCGCCAGGAUGUGCUCAGCCUGGGAAAGGCGAGCUUCACUGUAAAGUGCCCCAGGCCAUUCACGUGUCCAGAUCUGAACUUCAGACGGGCCUGUAAUCUUGAGGUUCUUAAGAAACCAAUGGAAGGGGGCUGGGGAUUUAGCUCAGUGGUAGAGCGCUUACCUAGGAAGCGCAAGGUCCUGGGUUCGGUCCCCAGCUCCGGAAAAAAAAGAACCAAAAAAAAAAAAAAAAAAAAAAAAAGAAACCAAUGGAAGACGCUUUACACCAUCCCCCCACCCCUGAUAGUUAAUAUUCAUGAUUGCAAAUACCACAGGCACCCUGAAGUGACUUCAGAUCAUCAAAGAAAUUAAACUGAAUUUCAAACCAUUUUUCAUAGGGAAGUCUCCUCUGCAAGCUGACAGUUCUGUAUUCCUUCACAUUCUUAUGCAAAUCCAUAUUUUCAAUUAUUCGGGAUGAAUUGGAUGAAUGUAGGAUCUCACUGAGAUCCACAUUCUUUUUUUUUUUUUUUUUUUUAAAUCUUUUGUUCCCUCUCUUUUUGAAAGCCUAUGCUCCCUAGGCCUUAUCUCGGUCACAGGAAGCCAUAGUGUUCUUGUCUUCCGAGCUAGCUGGUCUGCACCAUUUAGGAAAACUCAUUUGCAUCAAAGCAGUCACUGUUGAGUUUGUGUGGUGAACUUCCAUAAACAACUGUUAGGAAGCAGUGAGGUGUGGCCCAGAAUUACCACAAACAAACCAAGGGUCUUAUUGCUAAAGUCACACUUGAAGCUUAAUGACAAGCUCUGAAUGCAACUUCCUAACUGAAUCCCCCAUCCUGUCAAGACUCAGAAAUUCAAACCAUUUAAUGGGGGGUGGAGGUGCAAAUUUAUGAUCAUUUACCUACAAACACUGAUAGUUGGUCAGGAUGUAGAGCAAGGUGAAAAUGAGUCUUUAAUUAGGUUUUUCAGCAGACAAAGGAAGGAUGCUGUUCAGAAAUCAUUCAUUUGCUGUACUUAGGUAUUUCCUGUGACUUAGUUUCUGUAGGCACAGAAUAGCAUUUGUGACCAAAAGCUAGACUUCAUUUGUUUUUACUUGAUAUCGGUAGGAAAGGCCAGAAUUUACCACAUCGCUAUGAAUUCUGCGUGGUGCUGAAUUAGUCUCCACGGCUUUUAUAACAUGGAGUGUCAAACCUCAAGCCUUACGAGCCCACACAGUUUUCAUCUAAUAAUUUUGAACGUCUGACCUCAGUUUCAUUAGACUAAAAGUAUCCUCGGGGUUGCGUCCCUUUCUGGAGCCAUUUGAAGGAAAGAUUUCUUAUCCUUCCCAGUUUCUAGAAGAUGCUUGCUCUCCUAGGCAUGUGUCCUUGCUCAUUCACCAUCAAAGUCAGCUGUGGCAGACAUGCUGCUGCCCCACCCCCACCUUGGGACCGUGCCUCUGCUUGUGUCUUCCAUUCAUGCAUUUAUUCACGCAGUUAUGAAUAUUAGUCAUCAGCUCCUAUUUCUGCUGGGGCCAUGUGUGCAAUCUAGGUGCGCCCUCCUGUCUCCACGUCUGCGGUUGAUUCCUCCUGUUUGUGAAAUCUCUCUACUAUGUAAGGCAAGACACUCCAGGUUCCAAGCGUUGGGAUGUGGACAUGCGUGAGGGAGUCACUCAGCCUACCACAUUAUGCUGGAGUAUGCCUGUGGCUCUUUUAAAGAAAACUAUUUUCACUGUUUUUGAUGGAUCAUCAUCUGGAUGAACAAGUAAAACCAUCUGUGAAUUGGUUUAGAGCCUUAAAUGAACAUCUUUCUUUUUUUACAUUUAUAUGUCAAUUUCCUUUAAGUGACAAACCUAGUUAUUAGACUGUUUUUAUUGUCGUGCUAAAGCACUUCCUUGAGUCUUAAAGCAGGCUGCAGGUGCCUUUCCUCUACCAUAUACUAGAGUCUCUCCUCUAGAUGGGACAGUCUACCCUCUGCUUUAUGAAGAAGGAGAAUCCUUUCUGCCCUGCUGGGGGCAGUCUGAAUACCCACCACCUGCCAUGGCAUGGGCUGAGUGUAACAAAAGGGCCAAGAGGUAACUGAAAGGCACCACUAGUUCUCCAAUGGCCACCUAUAGAACUGCUUGGAACUGUGGGAGACAGAAGCAACUCUCUUAACAUGGGAACAUAAGAGAUGGGAUGACACUUACCUCCCUUCUGAAGGGAAAGAAAAGUCACCAAGCAAGACUCUUGCAAGGCCAACAUGACAUCAGGACGGUCAUUGGUUAGAUGCACAGGUGUCAUGCUGCAUCCACCUUAUGUGAAUGUGGACCACAAGCCUAGGCAACAGUUACCUUUAUCCAAAGCAAAGAUGAUUAACAGGCAUCGUGAGUGAAGUGGGCCAAUGUCCCCAUCUUUUUAAAAUUUCAAUCUCCCCAACCCUCCUCUUCCAUCUAUUAUUGGCACUUUGCAGGUUCUGCUUUCAUAUAGGAGGGGUGGGUCUUAUGCUAAGGUCCUGCAAUUGGUUCUUGAUCUAUCAGUAAUGAUGCCAGGGACCAAUUCCUGGGCAGGAGGAAGGAGGCGGGACUUCCAGGCCCCCACAGGGGAGGCAAGGAGACACAAAGGAAGAGAGCAAUUUUUGCUAUGGUUCGGAGGAGAAAAAGGUGACCAGCCAUGUGAGAUCUGAGGCAGAGUGGCCUUAAGUCACUUCUCCCAGGAGAAGGUAGGAGGCAGGAGGCAAUCUACAAGAUGGUCUCCUCGGUCAUGAAAAUGCCUGAAGAUGAAUCAACCCCAGAGAAAA